UCUACGAUUAAACACUUUCAGCGAAGCGUGCUGAGUGGAGUAGAGAAAACAAGGAUCGCCUUGGACCUCAGUUUACAAUGGUGUGGCUUAGUUUUGUUUUCCUUUGUCUCUUAUCUAUACAUCUGUCCUGCCAGGAAACUCAGUAUUCAGAAAAAGAAUUAUUAGAAAGGCUUAUUAAGAUCCUGAAGGAACCAAGUCAAAGAAACAUUGAGAAAGAGGCCGACGCGUCAAUUUACCCCG